rnacentral:rRNA from 1 species
GCAGCCUGCAACUCGGCUGCAUGAAGCUGGAAUCGCUAGUAAUCGCAGAUCAGAAUGCUGCGGUGAAUACGUUCCCGGGUCUUGUACACACCGCCCGUCACACCAUGGGAGUUGGAAAUGCCCGAAGUCAGUGACCGAACCGAAAGGAAGGAGCUGCCGAAGGUGGAGCCGAUGACUGGGGUGAAGUCGUAACAAGGUAUC